UCCAAAUAUAUCAAAAUUGUAAAGAAUCACUAUCCAGCCAAUCUUCAAAAUUUCCUAAAACUUUGCAUUACCAAUUACAAUCUUUAUACUUUAUAGUCAGCUUAGGAGCAAAUAAGUAAAAUGAAAAACCCGUUCACGAACUUCGGUUUUAUGAUAAUCCAUAACCUACCAAUCACGAUUGCGUAUUUGGGUCAUGGAUACGUCAUAAAAUCAAAGUUCAUAAACAGUUCUUUUCAUUUCAGUCAUCCUGCUCCUGACUGAGUAUAAAGAUUGUCAUUUUCUUUAGAAGGUUUUCUGAUCAUCACAAGAUUCACACUACCGUACAUUAAUAAUCCAACUGAUUUGAAGUUAUCUUGCUCCUAACUGAGUAGAAAGAUUUUCAUUGUAUUUGGCAAGGUCUUUCAGAGCAUCACAAGAUUCACACUCCAUCAGAGAAUUUGAAGUCAUAGACUCGAACACAUUACAAUUCGACCGAUUUGAAGCAAUAUGGCACGCCAAGUAGCAAACGAGUAUCCACAGAUACACUGCCUUUCUUUAAACAGUCAAAGGUUGGACCGUAAAGUACCAAGAUCGAAAGGUUACCUGGUGGUGGUUUUUGCAACAUUGAAGAAUGCCACAGCUAGAAAAUCAAUUCAAUCAAAGGAAUCAGAACUGGCAAUGUAUAAUCCUUCCCGUGAAUUCUCCAUUCCUUUAAGGAGAGGUAGUGUACCAGCACACAGAAAAUUGGUCAUGACGAAGUUAGGAAAGAAAGUUACUGAAGAUGAUCUCCGUGAGUAUGCCAGUGCGAUAACUAAAGGAAAGAGUCAGUUGGUUUGGGCUAGUGAAGAAAAUUUAGAUUUCUGGCAGGAUAAAGCAAUGCAUGGAUAUGAUGUAAUAGAAGUCCUCAACGAGAUAGGCAUGAGAAUCCAUGAAAGACUUGGUAGAGGAAGGGAAGGUCCAUUGCCGGGUCCAUUGAAAUAUUAUUGAACAUCCUGUAUUUAAAAUUAAAAAGUACCCAUUUUUUUGCCUUCAGAACUGUAAGUUAAUCUUGAUUUCCGGUUAGUUCCUGAAAUAGUUAAUCCAACCCCGCCUAUAAAAAUUUCCACAGAAUGAUAAAUACAAAUUAAUAACCAUAUUACUUCAAUUGAUAUGUAAUUGCUGCAAUAUUUCAUGACAAAAUAAACAUGUGACUUUUUAGAGUUUCUGGGAAUUGUGAAACAUAUUCAGUUUUGUUUCUGUUUCACUUGAUUUAGGAACUUCAUAUUUUGUUUUAAAAACCCAGUUUAUGAUUGGAAAUUGACGCAAGGCCUUAAACACUAGAUGGCUCUCAUAAAAAAGACCUUUAGAAAAAUCUCAAUUCAGUUUUUUGUUGUUUUAAAUAGGCUUACAUUUUGUUGCAUUCUAGUGCAUUUGGUUUCCAACAACUUGUUAACAAAAAAUGUCAAUCUAUUAUUGAAAAUAUUCACAACAAAUUUCGUUUCAAGAUUUCCUUAUUUAGCACAUUAUUCUGGAGAUUAAAAUAUGAUUGAAAAGACUGAUAUGUGCAAGAUCAAAUUAAGGAACUAUAGAUAAAAAUGCAAUAAUCAGUCAUAUUCUAUCAUGUAUCCUUAAAACACAUCAAAUAUGAAUUCAGGAAAGCCAUAACAUAUAUUUCAAUUUUGUGAUAAAUGUUGUUGUCCUUCAUGUACAAACAAACAUUUGUUUUUAAUGUUUUCUUUGGGUGAUCCAUAGACCGAAGUCGUUAAUUGAUGGUUAAACGGUGCGUCCCAGAAAAAACGAAACCGAGAAUUAUCAACUUUUCAAUUAUAAUUAAUAAAUGACAC